rnacentral:rRNA from 1 species
GGGUUGUGAGGUUAAGCGACCAAGCGUACACGGUGGAUGCCCUGGCAGUCAGAGGCGAUGAAGGACGUGCUAAUCUGCGAAAAGCGCCGGUAAGGUGAUAUGAACCGUUAUAACCGGCGAUGUCCGAAUGGGGAAACCCAGUGUGACUCGUCACACUAUCAUUAACUGAAUCCAUAGGUUAAUGAGGCGAACCGGGGGAACUGAAACAUCUAAGUACCCCGAGGAAAAGAAAUCAACCGAGAUUCCCCCAGUAGCGGCGAGCGAACGGGGAGGAGCCCAGAGCCUGAAUCAGCAUGUGUGUUAGUGGAAGCGUCUGGAAAGGCGCGCGAUACAGGGUGAGAGCCCCGUACACAAAAGCGCACAUGCUGUGAGCUCGAUGAGUAGGGCGGGACACGUGGUAUCCUGUCUGAAUAUGGGGGGACCAUCCUCCAAGGCUAAAUACUCCUGACUGACCGAUAGUGAACCAGUACCGUGAGGGAAAGGCGAAAAGAACCCCGGCGAGGGGAGUGAAACAGAACCUGAAACCGUGUACGUACAAGCAGUGGGAGCCUCUCUUUAUGGGGGGUGACUGCGUACCUUUUGUAUAAUGGGUCAGCGACUUAUAUUCUGUAGCAAGGUUAACCGCAUAGGGGAGCCGAAGGGAAACCGAGUCUUAAUUGGGCGUUAAGUUGCAGGGUAUAGACCCGAAACCCGGUGAUCUAGCCAUGGGCAGGUUGAAGGUUGGGUAACACUAACUGGAGGACCGAACCGACUAAUGUUGAAAAAUUAGCGGAUGACCUGUGGCUGGGGGUGAAAGGCCAAUCAAACCGGGAGAUAGCUGGUUCUCCCCGAAAGCUAUUUAGGUAGCGCCUCGUGAA